AGUGGUUAUUUUUCCUCAGCUAGAGGGAAGAACAAAGGAAUGGAGCCCAGAUGCACCAGAAUGGGGACCUGGUGGAAGAACUGAAAAAGCUGGGGAUCCGCUCCACCCUUUUAGAUGAAAAAAGAAAUAUGGAUGUGCCCAUAGCACACAUUACUCAGCUUUGAAACUGGCAGAUAAGGCUGUUGCCUUACAGAAGGGCAGAGAAACAUGAAGGAAUCAACCCAAGUCCAUGAGUGACUGAAUGAGUUGAGUAGGCCACCUAUGUGCUCUGGACUGUCAAGUGGAGAGAAACUUGACAAGUGGUAUCCAGGGGUAUGAUCUGCAACAGAGCUGCUCAUCACCGCUCUCUAAUUUUGGGGCCUCGUGUAGGGGAAGAGCUCAUUCGCUUCUCUUGGGAUGUGAGCCAGCUGGGAUAGAUGCUUCACUAAGAGACAUGUGUGCACUUUGUCCUGAUCUGAGCUCACUGUGAAGGGCCUUUGAACUCAUCAAGCAAUUCCAGGAAGUGGAAGAUGAUCAAAGAACACAAGAGAAUCAUGGUUUAAGCUUCUUUUAAAGUCGAGUUUGGAUGUGCUGUGAAGAGGGAGGAGGCAGCUUUCUUGUCCACCGGCAUCACAUAAAGAGAAGAGCUGUGAAUCCCCACAAAGAACCACUUGCACCAUAAGUACCAGGGCAGGGGAGGCGUGGGGCUUGUAACAUUAGAUUAUUGGGCCCUCCUCACACCCUCAAAAUCAGAAUUUGGUGGGGCGGGGGGCUGCGGGAGGACGGUGAGAGUAGGUCCCAGCAGUCAGCAAUUCAAAUAAGCCCCCAGGUGACUCUAAUGUACUGGAAAGUUUGAGGACAACUAAGUUAAAGCAUGGGACUUGGAGAGUUCCAACCCUGCUUCUACUACUUAUCAACUCUGUG
rnacentral:lncRNA from 1 species